CAGCCGCCACGGGAAUACGAAGGGUGCAAGCGUUACUCGGAAUUACUGGGCGUAAAGCGUGCGUAGGUGGUGGUUUAAGUCCGUUGUGAAAGCCCUGGGCUCAACCUGGGAAUUGCAGUGGAUACUGGAUCACUAGAGUGUGGUAGAGGAUAGUGGAAUUUCCGGCGUAGCAGUGAAAUGCGUAGAGAUCGGAAGGAACAUCUGUGGCGAAGGCGACUAUCUGGGCCAACACUGACACUGAGGCACGAAGCGUGGGGAGCAAACAGGAUUAGAGACCCGCGUAGUCCCUGUCUCUUAUACA
rnacentral:rRNA from 1 species